rnacentral:rRNA from 1 species
AUUGAACGCUGGCGGCAGGCUUAACACAUGCAAGUCGAGCGGUAACAGAGAGAAGCUUGCUUCUCUGCUGACGAGCGGCGGACGGGUGAGUAAUGCCUAGGAAUCUGCCUAGUAGUGGGGGAUAACUUGCCGAAAGGUAAGCUAAUACCGCAUACGUCCUACGGGAGAAAGGAGGGGACCUUCGGGCCUUUCGCUAUUAGAUGAGCCUAGGUCGGAUUAGUUAGUUGGUGAAGUAAUGGCUCACCAAGACCGCGAUCCGUAACUGGUCUGAGAGGAUGAUCAGUCACACUGGAACUGAGACACGGUCCAGACUCCUACGGGAGGCAGCAGUGGGGAAUAUUGGGCAAUGGGGGGAACCCUGAUCCAGCCAUGCCGCGUGUGUGAAGAAGGUCUUAGGAUUGUAAAGCACUUUAAGUUGGGAGGAAGAGCAGUUAAUUAAUAUUUGACUGUUUUGACGUUACCGACAGAAUAAGCACCGGCUAACUUCGUGCCAGCCGCCGCAGUAA